GCAUCUCAGCACAUUACCACAAAGGCUAAAACAUGGUUUCCCUGGUGCUACAUGGCAGGUCUGAGAAAGUGUCACAAGAGACACAAGACACAGUUAUUCUGCUGAAAAAGUGGUGAUACUGGCUGUCAAAGAAAUCGGAAAGAGCACA